GCCGAAGUGCCGCAGGCCUACACAUGCAAGUCGAGCGGAUGACGGGAGCUUGCUCCUUGAUUCAGCGGCGGACGGGUGAGUAAUGCCUAGGAAUCUGCCUGGUAGUGGGGGACAACGUUUCGAAAGGAACGCUAAUACCGCAUACGUCCUACGGGAGAAAGCAGGGGACCUUCGGGCCUUGCGCUAUCAGAUGAGCCUAGGUCGGAUUAGCUAGUUGGUGAGGUAAUGGCUCACCAAGGCGACGAUCCGUAACUGGUCUGAGAGGAUGAUCAGUCACACUGGAACUGAGACACGGUCCAGACUCCUACGGGAGGCAGCAGUGGGGAAUAUUGGACAAUGGGCGAAAGCCUGAUCCAGCCAUGCCGCGUGUGUGAAGAAGGUCUUCCGAUUGUAAAGCACUUUAAGUUGGGAGGAAGGGCAGUAAGUUACUACCCUGUUGUGUUCACUGUUCCCAGAGAAAAAGCAACCGCAAACUUUG
rnacentral:rRNA from 1 species